AUUGAACGCUGGCGGCAGGCCUAACACAUGCAAGUCGAGCGCGCGGCGGACAGGUGAGUAAUAUAUGGGGGUCUGCCCGAUAGAGGGGGAUAACUACUGUAAACGGUAGCUAAUACCGCAUACUAUCGGAUGAGCCCAUAUGGGAUGAGCGAGUAGGUGGGGUAAAGGCUCACCUAGGCGACGAUCCCUAGCUGGUCUGAGAGGAUGAUCAGCCACACUGGGACUGAGACACGGCCCAGACUCCUACGGGAGGCAGCAGUGGGGAAUAUUGCACAAUGGGCGCAAGCCUGAUGCAGCCAUGCCGCGUGUAUGAAGAAGGCCCUAGGGUUGUAAAGUACUUUUGGCAGAGAAGCGGUAUCUGCAGAAGAAGCACCGGCUAACUACGUGCCAGCAGCCGCGGUAAUAC
rnacentral:rRNA from 1 species